GACGUAGGGCGCGAGCGUUGUCCGGAUUUAUUGGGCGUAAAGAGCUCGUAGGCGGCUUGUUGCGUCGGCUGUGAAAACCCGUGGCUUAACUGCGGGCUUGCAGCUGAUACGGGCGGGCUAGAGUUCGGUAGGGGAGACUGGAAUUCCUGGUGUAGCGGUGAAAUGCGCAGAUAUCAGGAAGAACACCCGUGGCGGAAGGCGGCUCUCUGGGACGGUACUGACGCUGAGACGCGAAAGCGUGGGGAGCGAACAGG
rnacentral:rRNA from 1 species